rnacentral:rRNA from 1 species
CCUACGGGGGGCAGCAGUGAGGAAUAUUGGUCAAUGGACGAGAGUCUGAACCAGCCAAGUCGCGUGAAGGAUGACUGCCCUAUGGGUUGUAAACUUCUUUUAUAAAGGAAUAAAACGAGGCACGUGUGCCUUUUUGCAUGUACUUUAUGAAUAAGGAUCGGCUAACUCCGUGCCAGCAGCCGCGGUAAUACGGAGGAUCCGAGCGUUAUCCGGAUUUAUUGGGUGUAAAGGGAGCGUAGAUGGGUUGUUAAGUCAGUUGUGAAAGUUUGCGGCUCAACCGUAAAAUUGCAAUUGAUACUGGCAGUCUUGAGUACAGUUGAGGUAGGCGGAAUUCGUGGUGUAGCGGUGAAAUGCGUAGAUAUCACGAAGAACACCGAUUGCGAAGGCAGCUUACUAAACUGUGACUGACAUUGAUGCUCGAAAGUGUGGGUAGCAAACAGGAUUAGAUACCCCUGUAGUC